GCGGACGUGGCUCAGCUGGUAGAGCACGACCUUGCCAAGGUCGGGGUCGCGGGUUCGACCCCCGUCGUCCGCUCCA
rnacentral:tRNA from 1 species